UACGUAGGUGGCAAGCGUUGUCCGGAUUUACUGGGCGUAAAGAGCGCGCAGGCGGUCGUUCAAGUCGCGUGUGAAAGCCCCCGGCUCAACCUCGGGCCUGCAGUGGGUACGGGCAGACUAGAGUGCGGUAGGGGAGAUUGGAAUUCCUGGUGUAGCGGUGGAAUGCGCAGAUAUCAGGAGGAACACCAAUGGCGAAGGCAGAUCUCUGGGCCGUAACUGACGCUGAGGAGCGAAAGCAUGGGGAGCGAACAGG
rnacentral:rRNA from 1 species